GACGUUGCCUAGCAACCAAGGCUCAAAUGAAAAAGUCAGAAUUCAGAUGCCUAGCAACUCGCUAAAAACGUGUGGCAGCUUCCGCUUACGAACAGAGGUCAAGAGCACAAAGCGAACGCUUGGGAAGCCAUAAAUGUGCCUAUUGAAUGCUAUGUUUUCCUCCUUGUCCUGUGGAAACUGGAAAGAUUGAAAAGUGAUAAUUUCUUUUCUUGUGAUUUGCAUAUUGCAUUCAGGCUGGAAUUUGUUAUGACAUUCAUGAUCAGUGAUAUGGCGAGCCUGAGCCCUCCAGUCAUCACAGCUGCAACAACUAAGGUUCUGCCAUGGCUAAGAUUUGAGAAAAAAUACCUUCAUACUCUGAAUGGUGCUUUGAAGAUGCUGCAAAUUUUUGUUGCUUUAUGUGGAUUUCUCUGCAUCACAUUCUCCAACUUGAGUCUUCAUCCAAGAGCUACAUGGUACUACUUUGUCUGCCUGGUUAGUUUUUGGACAUCACUUCUGUUGCUGCUCUGCUAUGCCUUCCAUGUUGUGGAGAAGCUACACUUUUUACCUUGGCUGGGAAUGGAGCUGUUUUUCAGUAGCUGCUGGAGUGUGCUCUACCUAACUGCUGCUGCUCUCGCCACUUCAUUUGGGCACCUGCAGGCCACAUGGGUGGCUGCCACAAUAUUCGCCUGCCUGGGGAUGUCGUCCCACGCCUGGGAGGCCGUGCUGAAGCUGCGUGAUGUCCGCCGUGGGAAGAUAGCCCAGGGCCACAGGUCGAUCACUGCCUCCAGCGACAGGCUCCACAAGUACUAGCUAGGUCUCCACGAUCUCUCCACGAUCUCAGCUACCAAGUGUUGUUCGAUGUUUAUUAUGACUCCCGAGACCUGACGUAUCUAUGGACCGCCGUGUAGGGACUUUGUUGUCAGUUGAUGUCCAGCUUCCAGUUACCAAAGUGCAGUGUGUCAGUGCUGUGCCGACGCGAUGUAUUGAUUACUUACCUACCCGUCUUGUUAGCAUUGAGUGAAACACUGGCCAAUUUUUAUCUAUCUUGUGUUAUAAAAUGUCGGUAAAUUGUCAUGCUACCCCACUCCAUGGAUUAUUGGUACCAUGCGCUGCGUAGCGCAUGGUACUCAUAGCAUUUUGCGGGCAGUGUCACGUACAACUAGGGUAUGCGAUUCGCGAUAUAGUUCUUUCUCUCACCGUCCACGUUUUUUUUUUUCUGGUAGUAUACAUACGUAGUUGACCAAGUGUAAUAUGUUCGUUCAGUGCGAUUGUGAGACCCACGUUCUACAAUCCAAUUGAAUCUGAUAUCCAUGCAUGUAUCGUAUAUGCGUAUCGUUUUGAUAUUCCAUUGAUUUCGAACCAAGGCUGAAGAGACUCGACUCGAGUCAUUGAUAGUGUUCAAACAGGGAUGAGUGGGAUUUGAUAGUUUGAUAUCUCGGCUUUUUGUUCAUAUGUACAUAACUAUGUUGAGAUCUCCAUCGCAGACCAAUGAGCACCUGUACUUGCCAUUAGCUGAUAGCGAGAUUGCACCGCACUGUGAUAUAUACGCCUGAUAUACCUAACUAUACGUUAUGAAAUACACCGUCCACAUCAACGGUU